AACGAACGCUGGCGGCAUGCCUAACACAUGCAAGUCGAACGAGACCUUCGGGCCUAGUGGCGCACGGGUGCGUAACGCGUGGGAACCUGCCCUUAGGUUCGGAAUCACUCCCCGAAAGGGGUGCUAAUACCGGAUAAUGUCUUCGGACCAAAGAUUUAUCGCCUUUGGAUGGGCCCGCGUUGGAUUCGCUAGUUGGUAGGGUAAAAGCCUACCAAGGCGACGAUCCAUAGCUGGUCUGAGAGGAUGAUCAGCCACACUGGGACUGAGACACGGCCCAGACUCCGACGGGAGGCAGCAGUGGGGAAUAUUGGACAAUGGGCGAAAGCCUGAUCCAGCAAUGCCGCGUGAGUGAUGAAGGCCUUAGGGUUGUAAAGCUCUUUUACCCGGGAUGAUAAUGACAGUACCGGGAGAAUAAGCUCCGGCUAACUCCGUG
rnacentral:rRNA from 1 species